GCUAAAUGAUUAAUAGUUAUGUUCUUUAAAGUUAAAGAAUUUGGCGGUAUUUUAGUCUUUUCAGAGGAACCUGUUCUGUAAUUGAUAAUCCACGAUUAUAAUUACUUUAGUUUUAAGUUUGCAUAUCGUUGUAGUUUGAGUAUUUUAAAAGAAAAAAAAUGUUCAAUAUGUUUAAUUAAAAUUUAAAUCAAAUCAAGGUGUAGUUUAUAUUAAAGGAGAAAUGGGUUACAUUGAUAGAAAAAAUUUAGGAUUAUUUUUGUAAAAAAAAUAUGAAUAUGGAUUUGAGAGUAAUUUUAUUUAUA
rnacentral:rRNA from 2 species